rnacentral:rRNA from 1 species
CUUCUGCCUAACCCAGAUUUUA